rnacentral:lncRNA from 1 species
UACUUCUGGUCUCAUCUUUUCCCCCUCCCCUGCAGGAACUCGGUACUUGGGGGAAAAAAAUGAAAUGAAUGAAUCAUCUCUCCCUUCUCCUCCAACCAACCAACAAAUUAAUGGACCACCAUCAACAAAAGGUUCCAUUGAAGAUUUGAUGAAGGCAAAGAAGCUGCAACACCUUUCAGACCUUUGGGCUCACACCAUGAAUACCUCUGAUCUUGAAGACAAACGACAAUUUGGGUUCAGCAGAUGAUAGACUUGGAUGGGCUUCUCAUAAGGGCAAACAGGAC